GAUCCACCCCCUUCCCAGACCUCAUUUAAGGGUUGGCAGCCCAGGUAAAGGCAUCUCAGUGGAGAUCCUUGCAUUCCUAAGGCUUUCUGAAGGUGCUAAUGGGAAAAAGAGUCCCGUAUUGCCCCUCCAACCACCCUGCUUUUGAACAGUGGGAAAUGGCCGACUCACAGAUGAUGCAUUGCUGAACUCCUCAAGCUAAGAACUGCUAUGCAGACUUGUCUCAGCGUGGUGGCAUAAUGCAGGUACAAUUACAUGAGGUAGAGCACAACGCUGCUGGAUCACAUCACUCUGCACAUUAGUUUUCCCUUCUCCUCUCCCAUCUCCACUCCAACCUCAGCACUGUGAAAUCACAUCCGAAGGAUGACUUCAGGGUAGGAAGAAAAAACAAAAAUUACUGCAGAAACAAACUACUAAAGCAACAAAUUCCUGAACCAGUCCACUCAGGAAAUAAGCCAAAGUAGUGGCGACUUUUUUUAUUCUUCCACUUGAAGGCAUUUUGUGAGGAUUUUUUAAUUCAAAAUCUCUACAUGACUGCCCCUACAGUUCACUGCUCGGUCAUAACAGUCUAUUUUAGUUAUUAAAGAUGUACUGGAGAAAGAAAAAUAGUAAAAGAAAUGGACAGAAAAGGGGUCAGGAAGAAGUGAAGAGUCAUCAACAAGCAGCUCACAGAUGGGAAGAGGACAGUUCCAGAGAACCAGAGAAUCCAGAGUGAAUCAGCCACAUCACAAAAACAACGUGAGCAAGCAGGUCCAGUAAUAAAUGAAGUGGGAAAAAUGUAAUGCUGUUUAUGUUACAGUAGAAGACUGAGGACAUCUUUCAAAAGACAAAUGAACUUUUGUGAUCCAACAAUUUAAAAAAUAAAGAAGAUGGCUUCAUAUGUU